UACGAAGGUCCCGAGCGUUAUCCGGAUUUAUUGGGUUUAAAGGGUGCGUAGGCGGGCUAUUAAGUCAGUGGUGAAAUCUCCGAGCCUAACUCGGAAAUUGCCAUUGAUACUGAUGGUCUUGAGUACAUUUGAAGUGGGCGGAAUGUGUCAUGUAGCGGUGAAAUGCUUAGAUAUGACACAGAACACCGAUUGCGUAGGCAGCUCACUAAACUGUAACUGACGCUGAGGCACGAAAGCGUGGGGAGCAAACAGG
rnacentral:rRNA from 1 species